rnacentral:tRNA from 1 species
AGUGUUGUGGCUCAGUGGUAGAGCGCUUACCUGGCAUUUAUGAGGCACUGAGUUCAAUCCUUAGAACGCCA